rnacentral:rRNA from 1 species
UACGGGAGGCAGCAGUGGGGAAUAUUGCACAAUGGGCGCAAGCCUGAUGCAGCCAUGCCGCGUGUAUGAAGAAGGCCUUCGGGUUGUAAAGUACUUUCAGCAGUGAGGAAGGUGGUGUCGUUAAUAGCGGCAUCAUUUGACGUUAGCUGCAGAAGAAGCACCGGCUAACUCCGUGCCAGCAGCCGCGGUAAUACGGAGGGUGCGAGCGUUAAUCGGAAUUACUGGGCGUAAAGCGCAUGCAGGUGGUUUGUUAAGUCAGAUGUGAAAGCCCGGGGCUCAACCUCGGAAUUGCAUUUGAAACUGGCAGACUAGAGUACUGUAGAGGGGGUAGAAUUUCAGGUGUAGCGGUGAAAAUGCGUAGAGAUCUGAAGGAAUACCGGUGGCGAAGGCGGCCCCCUGGACAGAUACUGACACUCAGAUGCGAAAGCGUGGGGAGCAAACAGGAUUAGAUACCCUGGUAG